rnacentral:rRNA from 1 species
GACGAACGCUGGCGACGUGCUUAACACAUGCAAGUCGAACGGAAAGGCCCUGCUUUUGUGGGGUGCUCGAGUGGCGAACGGGUGAGUAACACGUGAGUAACCUGCCCUUGACUUUGGGAUAACUUCAGGAAACUGGGUCUAAUACCGGAUAGGAGCUCCUGCUGCAUGGUGGGGGUUGGAAAGUUUCGGCGGUUGGGGAUGGACUCGCGGCUUAUCAGCUUGUUGGUGGGGUAGUGGCUUACCAAGGCUUUGACGGGUAGCCGGCCUGAGAGGGUGACCGGCCACAUUGGGACUGAGAUACGGCCCAGACUCCUACGGGAGGCAGCAGUGGGGAAUAUUGCACAAUGGGCGGAAGCCUGAUGCAGCAACGCCGCGUGCGGGAUGACGGCCUUCGGGUUGUAAACCGCUUUCGCCUGUGACGAAGCGUGAGUGACGGUAAUGGGUAAAGAAGCACCGGCUAACUACGUG